UUAUAGGCUUUUUUCAAGGCCAUUUUUUUUUUCCAGAGGAAAAUAU
rfam:Gallus gallus isolate RJF #256 breed Red Jungle fowl, inbred line TCD001 chromosome 3, whole genome shotgun sequence.